UCCAAGCUGACCAAACUGAUUCAGUCUUAAACAACAACAUCCACAGGAGCUUAAGAGAACAAGUUCGGUUCCAGAGCAAUAAAUUUCUCACACCCAAGCCUCCUUCACCUUUGGGGGAGGGCAGACCAAGGUAUCUUAUGGGCAGGUGUCCUUGAGGAAUCCUAGACAAACUGCCAAUAGUUGUGAUUUCUUCUGCAGAAAGCCCACAAGGAAAGAAACAAGACUUCUCAGGACUGAUAGCUAAUCCUGACAGGGUCUGGAAUUCAGCCAAGACAUCUAUGAUUCCUUGGACAGAGGCAGGAGAGCCAUCAGAGAAGAUCAACAAGUCGUCAGCAAAGCAGAGGUUGAGAGCGGAAAGACA